rnacentral:rRNA from 1 species
UGGCCGUAAACGAUGUGGACUUGGUGUUGGAAUGGCUCCGAGCUGCUCCAGUGCCGAAGGGAAGCUGUUAAGUCCACCGCCUGGGAAGUACGGUCGCAAGACUGAAACUUAAAGGAUUGGCGGGGGAGCACCACGACGCGUGGAGCCUGCGGUUUAAUUGGAUUCAACGCCGGACAUCUCACCAGGGGCGGACAGCAGAAUGAUGGCCAGGUUGAUGACCUUGCUUGACAAGCUGAGAGGAGGUGCAUGGCGUGUGACUGU